rnacentral:rRNA from 1 species
UGGGGAAUAUUGCACAAUGGGCGAAAGCCUGAUGCAGCAACGCCGCGUGAGUGAUGAAGGUCUUCGGAUUGUAAAGCUCUGUCUUUUGGGACGAUAAUGACGGUACCAAAGGAGGAAGCCACGGCUAACUACGUGCCAGCAGCCGCGGUAAUACGUAGGUGGCGAGCGUUGUCCGGAUUUACUGGGCGUAAAGGGUGCGUAGGCGGAUGUUUAAGUGAGAUGUGAAAUACCCGGGCUUAACUUGGGUGCUGCAUUUCAAACUGGAUAUCUAGAGUGCAGGAGAGGAGAAUGGAAUUCCUAGUGUAGCGGUGAAAUGCGUAGAGAUUAGGAAGAACACCAGUGGCGAAGGCGAUUCUCUGGACUGUAACUGACGCUGAGGCACGAAAGCGUGGGUAGCAAACAGGAUUAGAUACCCUGGUAGUCCACGCCGUAAACGAUGAGUACUAGGUGUAGGAGGUAUCGACCCCUUCUGUGCCGCAGUAAACACAUUAAGUACUCCGCCUGGGGAGUACGAUCGCAAGAUUAAAACUCUAAAGUGAAUUGAC